AAAUUAUUAACUUAUUAUUUUUUUUCUGAAAUAUAAAAAUGAGGCUAGAUUGGGAAUAUUUUUCAAAAUGAGACUAGAAAGGGAUUUUUUUUUGUAAAGAGACUAGACAAGUAAAUAGUUCUGAGAAUCGCGAGUUGUUAUCUAUAUUUAGUAAGAAACUAAAAUAUAAUUAAAAAAAUAAAUGUGUAAAAAAUAUAUAUUUAAAAAGGGGCAAAGUAUGAAUUUAGUGAUCAUCGGAAAAUUUUAUUUUUGGAUAAAUAAAUAUU
rnacentral:lncRNA from 1 species